CACAUUGGGGACUGAGACACGGCCCCAAACUCCUACGGGGAGGGCAGCAGUAGGGGAAUCUUUCGGCAAAUGGACGAAAAGUCUGACCGAGCAACGCCGCGUGAGUGAAGAAGGUUUUCGGAUCGUAAAACUCUGUUGUUAGAGAAGAACAAGGAUGAGAGUAACUGUUCAUCCCUUGACGGUAUCUAACCAGAAAGCCACGGCUAACUACGUGCCAGCAGCCGCGGUAAUACGUAGGUGGCAAGCGUUGUCCGGAUUUAUUGGGCGUAAAGCGAGCGCAGGCGGUUUCUUAAGUCUGAUGUGAAAGCCCCCGGCUCAACCGGGGAGGGUCAUUGGAAACUGGGAGACUUGAGUGCAGAAGAGGAGAGUGGAAUUCCAUGUGUAGCGGUGAAAUGCGUAGAUAUAUGGAGGAACACCAGUGGCGAAGGCGGCUCUCUGGUCUGUAACUGACGCUGAGGCUCGAAAGCGUGGGGAGCAAACAGGAUUAGAUACCCUGGUAGUCCACGCCGUAGACGAUGAGUGCUAAGUGUUGGAGGGUUUCCGCCCUUCAGUGCUGCAGCUAACGCAUUAAGCACUCCGCCUGGGGAGCACGACCGCAAG
rnacentral:rRNA from 1 species